rnacentral:rRNA from 1 species
CAAUAGCGUAUAUUAAAGUUGUUGCGGUAAAAAAGCUCGUAGUUGGAUUUCUGUUGAGAGCGACCGGUCCAUACCAUGUAUGCGUAUCUGGCUUGCUCUCGGCAUCCUCUCGAUAGACGUUGCUGCGCUUGAUUGCGUGGCGCGGAUCUCGGGACUUUUACUUUGAGGAAAUUAGAGUGUUCACGGCAGGCUUUCGCCAGAAUACAUUAGCAUGGAAUAAUACUAUAGGAUCUUGGUUCUAUUUUGUUGGUUUCUAGAAUUGAGAUAAUGAUUAAUAGGGACAAUUGGGGGCAUUCGUAUCAACACGUCAGAGGUGGAAUUCUUGGAUUGUGUUGCGACGAACUACUGCGAAAGCAUUUGCCAAGGAUGUUUUCAUUGA